rnacentral:rRNA from 1 species
AGAGUUUGAUCAUGGCUCAGAUUGAACGCUGGCGGCAUGCCUUACACAUGCAAGUCGAACGGUAACAGGUCUUCGGAUGCUGACGAGUGGCGAACGGGUGAGUAAUACAUCGGAACGUGCCCGAUCGUGGGGGAUAACGAGGCGAAAGCUUUGCUAAUACCGCAUACGAUCUACGGAUGAAAGCGGGGGAUCUUCGGACCUCGCGCGGACGGAGCGGCCGAUGGCAGAUUAGGUAGUUGGUGGGAUAAAAGCUUACCAAGCCGACGAUCUGUAGCUGGUCUGAGAGGAUGAUCAGCCACACUGGGACUGAGACACGGCCCAGACUCCUACGGGAGGCAGCAGUGGGGAAUUUUGGACAAUGGGCGAAAGCCUGAUCCAGCCAUGCCGCGUGCAGGAUGAAGGCCUUCGGGUUGUAAACUGCUUUUGUACGGAACGAAAAGCCUCUUUCUAAUAAAGAGGGGUCAUGACGGUACCGUAAGAAUAAGCACCGGCUAACUACGUGCCAGCAGCCGCGGUAAUACGUAGGGUGCAAGCGUUAAUCGGAAUUACUGGGCGUAAAGCGUGCGCAGGCGGUUUUGUAAGACAGAGGUGAAAUCCCCGGGCUCAACCUGGGAACUGCCUUUGUGACUGCAAGGCUGGAGUGCGGCAGAGGGGGAUGGAAUUCCGCGUGUAGCAGUGAAAUGCGUAGAUAUGCGGAGGAACACCGAUGGCGAAGGCAAUCCCCUGGGCCUGCACUGACGCUCAUGCACGAAAGCGUGGGGAGCAAACAGGAUUAGAUACCCCGGUAGUCCAA